rnacentral:tRNA from 1 species
CGGGGUGUAGCGCAGCCUGGUAGCGCAUCUGCCUGGGGGGCAGGGGGUCGUGGGUUCGAAUCCCGCCACCCCGA